AAGAGGAGGUUCCACUUUUUCUUUUCCCCGCGUAACCAUGGUGAUCCUAUUCAUCCCGGAUGACCUUUCUAUCAAUAAAAGUGCGGCGCUGAAAAGAACCCUGAUGAGUUCAUGCACAGUAGUGGCUGACAUUUGAAGCGCGAUACAAUACACAACAAUACAGAGCAUCCAACAGUCUCAGCGAGAAAGAGUGCGCUAUAAACUACACUGUGGAGGGAGGGUGUUUGUUGUGGAGGUCAUCUCCAGCUAAGCCAUACUUGUCAGAUCACAUCCUACAUGCUGUGGAGCAACGGCACUUAAGUGUCUUCCUUGCUCAGUAUCAUCUUGAGAGAGAGGAGUGCAUUGAGGAUGAAGGUUGUGAUUCUGGAGGUGGGGAGCAGGGUCACAGUGAACAAGUGUCAUCAGGAUUCGUAAAAACAACAUGGUUUGGUUCGAAAUACCUUUUUUGGUCGCAACCAUCACGGACGGAGAUGGUCUGGCAAAAAUAGCAGUUUUUCAUCAGCCCAGAAAAACGCUGGAAAAGUCCACAGGUCUCCUUAAAAAUACACCUCUGUCUGCUGCCACAGCAACAGAUGAUAAAGUAGAAGAGGUUUAGAGCUACACUAUUUGUCAUGCUUGGUUAAAUGUGGAAGAAAGUACAACUACUUUACCUUAAAAGACCCUCAACUUAAUAACUUGGUUUUUUUUUUUCUUCCUCUGGUGUACAGGCCGGCAGUGUCAUCACUGGCACAUUUACUUCAUCUAAAGUUUUUACAAGACCCUGAAGGGAAAAGAAAAGAUCCAACGAUGAAAUGAAAGUUGCUUGCUGAAUGAGAAAAAACAGAAUUUUUAUUCAGAGGCUGCAUUAACCUACAGGAAACCACUCAGAGUGAGCAGUCUGUAUUAAUGUAGUGCAGGAAUCUAAAAGAAACAAUAGACCACGCUGCGACAUUGGCGGCUUGAUUCCCUUGAAGUGGCUACCAGCAUGCAUUCUCACAUGCACUUCAACUGAUUGAGUGCAGGUAUGGCAGCAAUAGAAGCGAUUUGAUAGAGUGCACUGGGGUGAGCCUCCAACGCAGGAACAGGCACAGAGACAGAAACUCAAGGAUUAAGAGGCAAACCCAGUUCCCACUUUAAUCACGCAGCCAUCUUGGGGAAGGAGAGGUUGUUUUGAUGGAUAUCAUCAAUGAGUGCAGCUGCUGGUCUCGACGUACUCCUCCUUGAUUCAUUUAUAAGCGUACAUGCAGAUUCAUUUGCUUUCUGUCCUUUCUAUUCGAAGUUAGCUUUGUCUACCUUUGCCCUGUGACAGCAAGGCUCACCCGCUCUUGUUUGACAUGUCGGCUAAACCAUCAUUUUCUACCAUUCUUCAUCAGCUUCCUCAUUAACUGUACCCUCAGCCAACCUCGGAACUACACCUCCUCUCUUCUAGAGUGACAAUAAACAAACUUUUUUCUCAACUCUCUGCCCCUUGAGGUGACACAGAGGCACUCUGAGCAGUGCUUUGAACGUUUGUUCCUUCAUGAUUAAACAUAACUUGCACUCUGUUUCCUUAUU